rnacentral:rRNA from 1 species
ACGGGACCCGCACAAGCGGUGGAUGAUGUGGAUUAAUUCGAUGCAACGCGAAAACCUUACCUACCCUUGACAUGUCCGGAAUCCCGAAGAGAUUUGGGAGUGCUCGCAAGAGAGCCGGAACACAGGUGCUGCAUGGCUGCCGUCAGCUCGUGUCGUGAGAUGUUGGGUUAAGUCCCGCAACGAGCGCAACCCUUGUCACUAGUUGCCAUCAUUUAGUUGGGCACUCUAAUGAGACUGCCGGUGACAAACCGGAGGAAGGCGGGGAUGACGUCAAGUCCUCAUGGCCCUUAUGGGUAGGGCUUCACACGUCAUACAAUGGUCGGUACAGAGGGUUGCCAAGCCGCGAGGUGGAGCCAAUCCCUUAAAGCCGAUCGUAGUCCGGAUCGUAGUCUGCAACUCGACUACGUGAAGUCGGAAUCGCUAGUAAUCGCAGAUCAGCAUGCUGCGGUGAAUACGUUCCCGGGUCUU